AUGGACAUCGCGGGACCGCAUUUAUACCGGUGGCACGAGUGACGUGGGGCCGAUCGCGCUCCCUUGGCAGCCCCGCUCCUCCGGAGGGGGUGUGCGUGUGCGUGUGCGUUUUGCUGUGCAGGCACGGUGACAUCACCUCCACCCCGUUUAAUCCCCCGGCGACAUCACUGCGUCUCUCGGCCGCGGCUCCAGCUCCGUUUCAGUUUUCAUCUGUGUCAUAAAUGUCUUCAGGUGGAAGGAGGGGCGGAGGGGACGGAAACCCAAACCACACGGUUCUGCCGCGGGGCCCUGCGCUCCGGAGCGGGGAGAGGGAAAGCGACGGUAGCGACCUCAGCUCCCUCCCGCGGGGCUGAACUUUACGCCGCCUUUUCUCAAGGGAGAAGAAACUUUUUGCGGGCUUGAGGAAGCUCGGCGGCUGUUCCCGGCGCCUCCAGGAAAUUGUAGAGUUCCCUCUUACUCCACGGCCACGCGCCCCUGGUGCAGCGCAGUGGCGUGCCCGCGCGGGGGCAUGGGGCUACCUCCCACCCCACCCCGUGCACGGAAAGACCUACGGGCCCUUUCUUCACUUGUGGGGAAAUGCUGCUACUCAGUCUUUGAGGGACCUGCCGAGAAAACAAGAUUAACUCCAUACCAGAUUAUCGCAGUGGCCUGGGAGCGUCCCAGCACAGCUCAGAGCUAGUAGCUCCCGGGCCUGCCCUGGCCAGGUACAGUGGUGCUACCGGUGUUCCCCCUUGCAGACGCAACAGAGCUAGAGAGAUGGAGCAUCUGUGGAGCACAGUCUUCCCCCUCCCUUUGGGGGCGAGGAAAGCGCAUCCAGAUCGGGCAGAAAACAACAGCUGAUAAACCUAAGAGGGCAGUGGGAGGUGAAGGAAUGCAUGUGCUUUGCGACACUUGGCUGCCCGUGCGGAGCAUUUGAAAUUCCCCCGUUGAAGACAACAUUAAAGCAGUUUGAUCCAGCA